ensembl:lncRNA
CGGAAAAUCCAAACUUUUACUGAGGCCAAUUAACGAUCGACAUCGGUCCAGUAGGCUUACGGAGUUAGAACGCUAUAACUAACUAAACGCAAAAUGGCUAUACAAUGUAGGCCUACCACCAUGGCGCAAGCAUCUACGUCAAAGUAAACCGCUUGUUUUCCCACUGACGGACUCAUCAUGUUAUAAGUGUCUGACCACAUGGAAAGGCCAACGUUUUUAGCCAUACUGUUCCCAAAAAAUGUAUAUGGCAAGCAACAAGCUUCACAUUUAUAUAGAAUUUCUUACAAAGUAUUUUAAUGAACUGUUGCAUUUCCCUAAAAACAUCUACACUGUACACAUUCAACAGCUAGCCAUGAGGUUAAAGUGCUAAAACCAGUUAGAAACAUGUUCUAUAUACAGCACAAUAAGAGAUCCAUAUGCUGCUCCACAUGGGGACAGAAAACACAGGACGGAGGUGUGUGUGUGUACUUUGGAAACACAUGACGGAGGUGUGUGUGUGUGUACUUUGGAAACACAGGACGGAGGUGUGUGUGUGUACUUUGGAAACACAGGACGGAGGUGUGUGUGUGUGCUUUGGAAACACAUGACGGAGGUGUGUGUGUGUACUUUGGAAACUGAAGGCAAGAAGAAGGCCCUGGAGAAGCAGGAGAGCAGAGCGCCAAACCGUCUCCAUGGAGACGUCCUCCCACGGAGGAGGGAGGGACCACCUGGGCUGAGUUUGGUUAAAAGGCUGCAUCAGUGUGUGUGUGUGUGUGUGUGUGUGUGUGUUUGAAACCAUGCUGACGGUAAACGGAGCAACUGGCUGCUAGGAGACUGUGGAACGGAUCUGGAGGGGAUUGGGCCGUGACGAGGAGGCGGGCGGGUCUUGGUCUUGGUCUCGACUCGUCCGGCGAUUCUAACU